rnacentral:rRNA from 1 species
AAGGUAGCAUAAUCAUUUGCCCUUUAAUUUGGGGCUAGAAUGAAUGGAUACACGAGAGAAAGGCUGUCUUAAUAUUACCAAUAAAAAUUAGCAUUCAGGUGAAGAGACUUGGAUUUUAAUGAGGGACAAGAAGACCCUAUUGAGCUUAACCUUAAAAAUACAUGCAAAAGGUAUUUUGAGGUUUGGUUGGGGCGAUCAUGGAAUACCCUAAACUUCCUAAAAUAUUUUGGCGUUCGUGCCAGACACGAUCUGAUUUUCAAAUAUUGGAUAAGCUACCAUAGGGAUAACAGGCUAAUCCUCUUAGAGAGUUCACAUUGACAGGAGGGGUUGGCACCUCGAUGUUGGCUUAGGGCACCCAAUUGGUGUAGGCGCCGAUAAUGGUGGGUUUGUUCAACCCUUUAUGCCCUACGUGAUCUGAG